rnacentral:rRNA from 1 species
UCUCUAGUGACCGAUAGUGAACAAGUACCGUGAGGGAAAGGUGAAAAGUACCCCGACAAGGGGAGUGAAAUAGUAUCUGAAACCAAAUGCUUACAAGCAGUCGGAGCAAGCAUUUAUGUCUUGUGACGGCGUACCUUUUGUAUAAUGGGUCAGCGACUUAGUUUAUCUAGCAAGCUUAAGCCGUUAGGUGUAGGCGUAGCGAAAGCGAGUCUGAAUAGGGCGACUAUAGUUAGAUGAAUUAGACCCGAAACCGAGUGAUCUAGCCAUGGCCAGGUUGAAAGCGGAGUAAAAUCCGCUGAAGGACCGAACCCACUACUGUUGAAAAAGUAGGGGAUGAGCUGUGGUUAGGGGUGAAAGGCCAAUCAAACUCGGAUAUAGCUGGUUCUCCGCGAAAUCUAUUUAGGUAGAGCGUUAUAGCGGUUACCAUCGGAGGUAGAGCACUGAAUGAGCUAGGGGGUCCCACAGACUUACCAAACUCAAUCAAACUCCGAAUGCCGAUGAGUAUAGCAUAGCAGACAGACUAUGGGUGCUAAGGUCCAUAGUCGAGAGGGAAAAAGCCCAGACCGCCAUCUAAGGUCCCUAAAUCAUGACUAAGUGUUAAAGGAUGUGAGAAGACCAAAACAACUAGGAUGUUGGCUUAGAAGCAGCCAUCAUUUAAAGAAAGCGUAAUAGCUCACUAGUCUAAAUAAGUUUUCUUGCGCCAACAAUGUAACGGGGCUCAAGUCAUGUACCGAAGAUGCGGAUUCACACAUUUGGUGUGAGUGGUAGCGGAGCGUUCCGUAAGCCUGUGAAGGUGAACCGUAAGGUUUGCUGGAGGUAUCGGAAGUGAGAAUGCUGACAUAAGUAGCGAUAAAGAAUGCGAGAAACAUUCUCGCCGAAAGUCCAAGGGUUCUUGCGUAAAGUUAAUCUGCGCAAGGUUAGUCGGCCCCUAAGGUGAGGCUGAAAGGCGUAAUCGAUGGGAAUCAGGUUAAUAUUCCUGAACCUGAAGGAUGUGACGAAAGUAGUAAGUUGUACAGUCUUAUUGGAUUGAUUGUGCAGCGAAUAUUUUCCAGGAAAUAACACCUUCAUUAUAGACCGUACCCGAAACCGACACAGGUGGACAGGUAGAGUAUACCAAGGCGCUUGA